rnacentral:lncRNA from 1 species
CAGCCUUAUCCAUCCCUUAUAAAACUUUCUCAGCUUUUUACCUUCCAGUUUCAUUAGCCAUGGAUGAUCCUUGAGUACAACUAGUAAUAAUGAGGAGUUCCUAAAAUAAUAAUUCUCAUUCUGUCAUUCUUUUUUUUACUGGCUAUAUUAUUUCUGUAAAGAGAAACCUGUUUUAAUAACUAUGGAGUUAUUCUAAAGGUCAGACUGCUUUAAAAUGCAAGAUAAAUGGUUUCUUCUUUCCCUUUAAAAUUUCGAAUAGUAUGUUGGCUCCUGAGCAUUCCUCUAAAGAUUUGGUUCUUGAUUUGAAGAAAAGUUAAGUAUAAAAAGACAUCCAUGAAAUUAUAGAAGAAUUUUGAACUUAUUAGAUAUUUGAUGAUAUCAAGGAAUAACUAUGAAUUUCAGAUAUGAUAUGAGUAUUCUAGUGGGUUAAAAAUAUUCCUUGGCUUUUAGAGAUAUAAGCUAAAAUGUUUACAGAAGAAAUCAUGUAAUGUUUCUACGCAUCCUUCAAUGGGUUAGGGAUAGGUUAGGGUUAGGGUGACCCUGACAGCCGAGGGAGAGUGUGGACAGGAGGGGAAGGUUCACCAGAAAUUGAUCUUUUUAGUGUGCUGUCACUGUCACUCUUAAAAUGCCACUGAUGCUGACCCCAUUCUUGGGAAACAGUAAGUGACUGUGACUGUCCAGAGUGAGGUAAUUAUGAUGCCCUUGUGUCCCUGCAGUGCCAUCAUAGAACACACCAACAGGGUGAUCUUCCUGGAGGAUGACGACAUCGCCACAGUGGCUGAUGGGAAACUCUCCAUUCACCGAGUCAAAUGCUCGGCUAGUGAUGACCCAUCUCGAGCCAUCCAGACCUUGCAAGUGGAACUGCAGCAAAUCAUGAAAGGUAACUUCAGUGCAUUUAUGCAGAAGGAGAUCUUUGAACAGCCAGAAUCCGUUUUCAAUACCAUGAGAGGCCGAGUGAACUUUGAGACCAACACAGGUAAUCCCAAAACUCGUCAGGAUCCGCCUGGGCUGCACCCUGUGAGUGAGCAGCCACGGUGUAGACCCAGCCCUGACACGGCCUGUGUGUCCCGUAGAGCUCCUGGGUGGCUUAAAGGACCACUUGAAGGAGAUUCGACGAUGCCGAAGGCUCAUCCUGAUUGGCUGUGGCACCAGCUACCACGCCGCUGUGGCUGUAAGUGUGCCACACUGGGUCCGGGGCAGUGCUGGGAUUAGCGGCCUGAGUGCUGUUGCACACUGGCCUCUGAAUGCAGCACAGUGCUCACACCCAUAGCCACAAGCCAGCCUGGAAGUGGCACCAACAUUUCCUCUGCAAGCCUCUCCCACUGGGACAGCAAGGCACUGGUGCACCUGGCGGGGGGUGACUGAGGGGCAGGGGCCUGGUCGUGGUAAUGACUCUCCGCCUCUCUUUGGGCCCUUGCCCUGGCUCCAGCAAAGCAUGCAGAAGAGGGGCUCUCUGUGAGUGACGCUUUCACAGGGAGCGCAUCUCUCAGGUAUCCGGUAGGGGACCUUUCUCAGCACAUGGUAUGCAGACAAGCUGUGAUGCCUUUACAGUGCCCGCCACCAGGUCCUGCCCUGUGCUCUCUGCCUGUA